UACGUAGGUGGCAAGCGUUGUCCGGAAUUAUUGGGCGUAAAGCGCGCGCAGGUGGUUUAAUAAGUCUGAAGUAAAAGGCAGUGGCUCAACCAUUGUGUGCUUUGGAAACUGUACAACUUGAGUGCAGAAGGGGAGAGUGGAAUUCCAUGUGUAGCGGUGAAAUGCGUAGAUAUAUGGAGGAACACCGGUGGCGAAAGCGGCUCUCUGGUCUGUAACUGACGCUGAGGCUCGAAAGCGUGGGGAGCGAACAGG
rnacentral:rRNA from 1 species